GACGAACGCUGGCGGCGUGCUUAACACAUGCAAGUCGAACGGAAAGGCCCUGCUUUUGUGGGGUGCUCGAGUGGCGAACGGGUGAGUAACACGUGAGUAACCUGCCCUUGACUUUGGGAUAACUUCAGGAAACUGGGGCUAAUACCGGAUAGGAGCUCCUGCUGCAUGGUGGGGGUUGAAAGUUUCGGCGGUUGGGGAUGGACUCGCGGCUUAUCAGCUUGUUGGUGGGGUAGUGGCUUACCAAGGCUUUGACGGGUAGCCGGCCUGAGAGGGUGACCGGCCACAUUGGGACUGAGAUACGGCCCAGACUCCUACGGGAGGCAACAGUGGGGAAUAUUGCACAAUGGGCGGAAGCCUGAUGCAGCAACGCCGCGUGCGGGAUGACGGCCUUCGGGUGGUAAACCGCUUUCGCCUGUGACGAAGCGUGAGUGACGGUAAUGGGUAAAGAAGCACCGGCUAACUACGU
rnacentral:rRNA from 1 species